UAAUACGUAGGGGGCAAGCGUUGUCCGGAAUUAUUGGGCGUAAAGCGCGCGCAGGCGGCUGUUUAAGUCUGGUGUAUAAUCCUGGGGCUCAACUCCGGGUCGCACUGGAAACUGGAUGGCUUGAGUGCAGAAGAGGAGAGUGGAAUUCCACGUGUAGCGGUGAAAUGCGUAGAGAUGUGGAGGAACACCAGUGGCGAAGGCGACUCUCUGGGCUGUAACUGACGCUGAGGCGCGAAAGCGUGGGGAGCAAACAGGAUUAGAUACCCUGGUAGUCCACGCCGUAAACGAUGAGUGCUAGGUGUUAGGGGUUUCGAUACCCUUGGUGCCGAAGUAAACACAUUAAGCACUCCGCCUGGGGAGUACGGCCGCAAGGCUGAA
rnacentral:rRNA from 1 species